rnacentral:rRNA from 1 species
CUACUCCCAUGGAUUCAAUUGGUCAGCCGGUCCAUGCCGAAUCUCAACGCUCCACUGGUGUCUGCUCUUGCUGAUCGGUGGAGGCCGAAGACGCACAGUUUCCAUCUUCGGACUGGGGAGAUGACCGUGACGCUCGAGGAUGUCUCGUUGAUCACCGGUCUUGCUAUCGACGGGAGGCCUCUCUGUAUGAGCACCGAUUCUGAUGGGUGGCUGAUGUCUACUACGCAACCUUCUUCUUGUAGACGUUGUUGGGCCUCCAAGUGCAUAGGUUUGUAG